rnacentral:rRNA from 1 species
CCUUCGGGUUGUAAAGCACUUUUGUCAGGGAAGAAAAGGUUUGCCCUAAUACGGUGGACUGAUGACGGUACCUGAAGAAUAAGCACCGGCUAACUACGUGC